ACCAGAAGUAGGUAGCUUAACCGCAAGGGGGGCGCUUACCACGGUAGGAUUCGUGACUGGGGUGAAGUCGUAACAAGGUAGCCGUAUCGGAAGGUGCGGCUGGAUCACCUCCUUU
rnacentral:rRNA from 1 species